rnacentral:rRNA from 1 species
AUGGCUAGUAGCUCCAAUGGCCAUUGUCCAGCUAAUGGUGCAAAAGUUCUUCCUGGAAGGGGGAAGAAGAAUCAGGAGAAAUUACAGCUUGACAAAGAUGCAGCUUCUAGGGCCUGUCAGAAGGACAGGCAAUACAUUGAGAAAUUGGAAACUGAGCUGAGCAACUGCUAUCAGGAAAUUGACUAUUUGCAGGAUCAGUUAAAUAUCAGGAAUGUUGAAGCAAACAUCAUGGGAGAGCAUAUUCACGGCCUUGAACUGAAGCUAACUGAACUUGAGAAAUUUCCUGAGAGAGUGAGAGUUAUGGACAAUGAUCUGAUGCGGUCUGAUUCUCAGUGCUGGCUUCUGAUGGAAGAAGUCCAAUGUAAAGAAGAGGAGCUGCAAAAGGCAACCUUACAAAUAGAGAAGCUUGAAAGCGUAACUUUAGAUAUGCAAUGUGAAAUUGAGAGUUUAAAACUUGAUUUGACUACGCUUGAGCAAAGACUGUUUGAUGCUGAGAGCUUUAGCCAGCAUACUGCUGAGUACAAAGUUAGAAUAGAGAAGCAACUGGAAGAACAUGAGCUCCAGCUGCAAGAGGCAUGGAAGACUAUUGGUCAUCUUGAGGUUGAGAAUAAACAACUGAAAAAAGAGUACUUGCCUGGAAGAGCUCCUAAACAAUCCUCUUCUACAGGCGUGGAGCAACUUGAUAAAACAGUGGAGCAUGAUGGUCAUGCAGACUAUGAAAGAGGUCAUGAAAUUCUUGAAAAGACGGGGAAGCAAAAUGAAGAACCUGAACUUAUAAUUGAGCAGCUCAAGGUCAGAGUUUGUGUACUAUCGUACUUCAGCAUUUUGGUAGAACUUCGAGAACAAAAACUGAAAGCAAAGGAGGAUGCAGAAGAUCUCACUCAAGAAAUGGCUGAAUUGAGGUACCAGAUAACUGGCAUGCUUGAGGAAGAAUACAAGCGUCGAUCUUGCAUUGAGCAAGCGGCUAUUCAACAAAUUCAGCAGCUGGAGGCUCAGGUCUCUAAAGAGCAAAGAAAAUUGGGCGGAGCACUAAGACGACUGCAGGAAUCGCAUGAGCUAGCUGACACACAAGCUACGGAGAUUAAGAAACUGAAGGAUGCUUUAGGGAGAUUGAACUCUGCAAUGAACCUCGGGAGGGUUUGCAAAUCUUGCUCUUGCGGGUUCUGUCCAAUGCUGGUAGAGAUGUCUAAUUGCUCGAUUGAAGGGUCGCUUGACCUCAGAUCUUCCGAUGCCAGCAACAAUGUCGAAGCACCGGAGAACCAAGCGCUAGUAGAGUGGCAUCCUGAUGAAGCUUCAGAUGGUGCCACAGUAAAUAAUGUAGGAUGCUAG